rnacentral:rRNA from 1 species
AGAGUUUGAUCCUGGCUCAGAUUGAACGCUGGCGGCAUGCCUUACACAUGCAAGUCGAACGGCAGCACGGGCUUCGGUCUGGUGGCGAGUGGCGAACGGGUGAGUAAUAUAUCGGAACGUACCUUUCAGUGGGGGAUAACGUAGCGAAAGUUACGCUAAUACCGCAUAUUCUGUGAGCAGGAAAGCAGGGGAUCGCAAGACCUUGCGCUGAUUGAGCGGCCGAUAUCAGAUUAGCUAGUUGGUGAGGUAAAGGCUCACCAAGGCGACGAUCUGUAGCGGGUCUGAGAGGAUGAUCCGCCACACUGGAACUGAGACACGGUCCAGACUCCUACGGGAGGCAGCAGUGGGGAAUUUUGGACAAUGGGGGC